rnacentral:rRNA from 1 species
UACGAAGGGUGCAAACGUUGCUCGGAAUUAUUGGGCGUAAAGCGCGCGUAGGCGGCUUGGCAAGUCGGAUGUGAAAUCCCUCGGCUCAACCAAGGAAGUGCAUCCGAAACUGCUGAGCUUGAGUACUUAAGAGGAUCGCGGAAUUCCCGGUGUAGAGGUGAAAUUCGUAGAUAUUCGGAGGAACACCAGUGGCGAAGGCGGCUCACUGGUCCAUUACUGACGCUGAGGUGCGAAAGCGUGGGGAGCAAACAGG